CCUACGGGUGGCAGCAGUGAGGAAUAUUGGUCAAUGGCCGGAAGGCUGAACCAGCCAUGCCGCGUGAAGGUCAGUGCCCUAUGGGCGUUAAACUUCUUUUGUGCGGGAGCAAUAAUGGGCACGUGUGGCCAGACGAGAGUACCGUACGAAUAAGCAUCGGCUAACUCCGUGCCAGCAGCCGCGGUAAUACGGGGGAUGCAAGCGUUAUCCGGAUUUAUUGGGUUUAAAGGGGGCGUAGGCUGUGAGGUAAGUCAGCGGUGAAAUGCCCCCGCUCAACGGGGUGAAGUGCCAUUGAUACUGCCUUGCUGGAGUGCGGAUGCCGUGGGAGGAAUGUGUGGUGUAGCGGUGAAAUGCAUAGAUAUCACACAGAACACCGAUUGCGAAGGCAGCUCACGGAUCCGCGAUUGACGCUGAUGCACGAAAGCGUGGGUAUCAAACAGGAUUAGAUACCCGUGUAGUC
rnacentral:rRNA from 1 species